CAGGCUACCUGUUGAAGGACAUCUUGUUUGAUCCCAGUCUUUGAGAAUCAUGAAGGGAGCUGCGGUACAAUUUUGUGUGGACAGAAAGAAGUUUUCUCCUCAUCGAGGGUUUCAUCCAGGACACACGUUCUGUUCAGUUGUCCUAUCUCCUUGGGCUUUCUUGAUUGCACUGAAAUGUAUCAUUUGGUGGGGGGAUGCACACCAGGGCCUCACACAAGCCAGACAAGCGCUCUGACACUGAGCCGAACCCUCAGCCCAAAAUGAAUUUGGAUGCGGGUCACUGGAUCUCUGUUAAAGGAUUCUUAC
rnacentral:lncRNA from 1 species